AUGAACGCUGGCGGCGUGCCUAAUACAUGCAAGUCGAGCGAACAGACGAGGAGCUUGCUCCUCUGACGUUAGCGGCGGACGGGUGAGUAACACGUGGAUAACCUACCUAUAAGACUGGGAUAACUUCGGGAAACCGGAGCUAAUACCGGAUAAUAUAUUGAACCGCAUGGUUCAAUAGUGAAAGACGGUUUUGCUGUCACUUAUAGAUGGAUCCGCGCCGCAUUAGCUAGUUGGUAAGGUAACGGCUUACCAAGGCAACGAUGCGUAGCCGACCUGAGAGGGUGAUCGGCCACACUGUAACUGAGACACGGUCCAGACUCCUACGGGAGGCAGCAGUAGGGAAUCUUCCGCAAUGGGCGAAAGCCUGACGGAGCAACGCCGCGUGAGUGAUGAAGGUCUUCGGAUCGUAAAACUCUGUUAUUAGGGAAGAACAAAUGGGUAAGUAACUAUGCACGUCUUGACGGUACCUAAUCAGAAAGCCACGGCUAACUACGUG
rnacentral:rRNA from 1 species